CAGAGGGCAUGGUACCGAAGAUCAGGAACAAAGGGCAUCUCCUAGGUGCUGAGAGAGAGCUUCCCAGAAGCAGACAUUGAACUUGACUCUCCAGAGGACUUCUUAUGGCUAGCUGGAGGAAGGAUGGCUUUUCUCUGAGAAAUGGAAUGAAUUAAAGCUCAUUUGGGAAAGUUUGCUAAGAAUGGGUUGCAAGGGUGGUGAAGCGUCUCAACACGGUUGCUUGAGAUUCCUGAUAGCAUGGUGGCUAGAUCCCAAAAAGGAGUGCUCCAAGAAGUAAAGUUCCCCAGUAACCAGCAAGAAGCAGAACUUCCAUUCUUAUGCUGUAACAACAAAGUGGCACUUCAACCAUCUGUCUCCUUCCCCUCUGUGUCAGUGGGGCCCAACAGGGAUCUGAGCUUACACUUCAACUUAAAAGCAAAGAUGAUUCACCUCAGACCAGCCUGGGCAACACGAUUCACCAUUACCUUUGGGGGCAUGUUUAAAAGAGAUGCUUUCAUGUCCAAGUCUGGAAAUCCCAGCAUCUGUCCUGUCUUCAGAUACAUUCUAUGAAUGUAAGAAGCAUGGUAAACAAAUGGCAUCAGACAAUACUUACUGGUGAUUGAAGAAACUGCCCAUGGGAUCAUAACAGAAGCCCCGGUGAUAGUCUUCUCAGAUUGAACCACAGCACUAAUGGAGAUUACCAAAAUUUAUAGGAUAAGAUUACUGAAAUUUCUAUGUUGUUUUAUCCCAUUGAAAUCAAUGGAAAGCAAAGGACAGGAAAGAGCCAAACAGACAAUUUUCCCCUCUCAUCUCUAUGAUAUGGUCCCUCCUUACAGUUCUUCUGGAAAAGUCCAGAGUGCCAAGCAAAUAUACUGACUCUGGGGUCCUGCUGUGCUGCAUCGUGGCUCAUUGUGAACCAGUGGUCAAUCCAGGAGGCCAUCUCCAUAGAUACUUUGCAUCAUUUCCUUUCCCUCCCCUUCACCACUGGGGACUUACACUUCCCAAAUAAAAUAUCAACAAUUCAAUCCAUAUCCCUGCAUUCUAGACGCUUAGCACACUCCCAUGACCCACAUGCUGGUGAGGAUGUUGAGUUCAUGUGAAGCCUUGGUAAUUUUGGUUGGAAACAUGUUUCUAGAAUCAAGGCAAUGUGGUUUGGUCAAAUUCAGAUGAGAUUGUGGAGCCGCGUGUCCUAGAUUCCAGCUUUGGCUCUAGACCUUAUAAACCAACCCUGUGGCCUUUUAUCUCUCUCAUCAGUCUAAUGGAAAUCAUAUUACCUGCCUUCCUUAUCUGGAAAUGUCAUCAUCAGGAUCAAGAGAGAUAAGGUUUGAGAAAGUAAUGUGUAAGCCAUUAAGUAGUACACAGAUGACCAUUACUGCUGUCAAACAGGAAUUUGAUGCAAUGAACUCUGUUCCCCUUUUCUGUCAAUACAAGUUCAGUGUUAAACAUUUA